UACGUAGGGAGCAAGCGUUGUCCGGAUUUAUUGGGCGUAAAGAGCUCGUAGGCGGCUUAGCAAGUCGGGUGUGAAACCUCCAGGCUCAACCUGGAGACGCCACUCGAUACUGCUAUGGCUUGAGUUCGGUAGGGGACCAUGGAAUUCCUGGUGUAGCGGUGAAAUGCGCAGAUAUCAGGAGGAACACCGACGGCGAAGGCAGCUUACUGGGCCGAUACUGACGCUGAGGAGCGAAAGCGUGGGGAGCGAACAGG
rnacentral:rRNA from 1 species